ACAAAUGAGAUUAGGCUCCGCCUACCGCGAUCAUUUGAAGACAAAAAUAAGCCCUCAUUGACAUUCAUGAGCAUGAAGAUAUUCAUAAUCCGGCCUUUUCAUUGGCUAAGAGCGUCAUUAAUACGCGAUUUCCCCGAUUCUUUGUCAUCGAUACUAGUGGUAUCGUGUUACAGAAAUAAUUAUUCAUUUGACCUCAUUACGUCAUCUAAUUUAUUCAUUCUGAAACUUUUCUUUCCACACACAAAAUGGACCUACGAACACUCCGGUUGAGUUUGAAGAACAAGAAAAAACAGUAGAGGUCUACCUAUAUGGUUCAAGAUGAUGAUCAUAUAAGUGCAUGCAUCAUUUUGCAGAUUCUCAUCCAGGAUGAUGCAGUUUUACAAUUUCCAUGGAGGUGAUUGAUGAUAAUAAAUAAUCGGUGAAGUAGGCCUAAUAGAACAGCGACGAGACCACAAAGAAAAAUACAACCUACAGCAGUUAUAUGAGACUGGUGUAACAGAUGUUUUCAUUCAAGAAAUCCAACAAUUCAACAUUGAAGAGUCUGACUUAGGAACCACUUGAUGAAGAUGGAAAAGGUUUUUUUUUUCCAAGUCCAAUUUUUCACACACAAAAAAAUUAUUAUCACAACCCCAAAUUCAUGACGUAUGAAAUUUCUUGUUGAUUUUCAUUUAAACUGGUUGCAAAAGGAGAAGCUAUAAACAUACAAAUAGGAGCGGCGGAGUGAAGUUGAAAAUGGGGGGGGGGGGCAUAGGGAAAAUGCUGUAUUACAUGAAAUUUUUAAGAAGUUGCGAGCGAGCAAAAUUUUGACUUUUUUUUUUUUUUUUUUUUGGGGGGGGGGGCAAGAGUCAUUCAAGCCCCCCUCCAUCUGUACGAAACUGCUUAUAUACCCCACCCAUGAAUUAUUAAACUUAGUGCACAAAGGAUUUCCUUCAUAAGUAUAUUAUCGAAAUGAGAAUAUUGUUUUCUUGUUUCAAAGGGCAAUCGUCAUGGUGACCAUAAAACGGGUCCUUCUCAGGUGAAAGGGGCACAGAACAAGUUCUUUAGGAGCACUUUUCUUGGGUAAAAAGGGGGCAGUGAUUCGAGAAAGGGCACUUACAAGAAGGCAAGGGUUAACACAUGAAACGGGCCCUCAGAUGAAAGGGCACAGAACACGUUCCGGGGGGGGGGGCAUUUUUCGGUUAAAAAAAUUGCAUACAAGGAAGAGCACUUGGUAACACCUAAAACAGGUUCUCGUCAGGUGAAAGGGACACAGUACACGUUCGUGAGGGGGCAUUUUUCUUGCAUAAAAAGGCACUUUUCAGUGCUUCAAGAAGUAGGGGGAACUGUGCCCCCCCCCCCCCUCCUCCCCAGGAUCGCUGCCCCAGCAUACAAAAAAAAUCUUUUGGUUCAAAGUAUUAACAUACGCUUAAGAAAAAGGUAAAGCUUAAUCCUCUGAUAAUGUAAUAUUUUUUUAUGGCUAAUUAAUAAAAUUCACCACUAACCAGAGAAUUCCUUUAUGUCUUUCAUUUUUGUUCAUAUAGUAUUUGUACAGAGCUAAAAUGAAAGGGACUUGGAAUUGGCAAAAUUGAAAAUGAGAUGAAGAUCGAGAGAGGGAAAGAGUGAUGAGAAGUGGGUUGAAAAGAGAUGAGAAAGAAAUGGAGGGGCACAUAUGAAGAGAUAAUUUAGAGGGGGUGGUAAGAGAGCUAGAAAGUGGGAAGUAGGAACAAAAGGGGUGGAAGAGAAAUAAGACAAGAUUUAUGGUAACCAGGAGACAGAUAACAAGUGGGAAAAGAAGAA